GAUGAACGCUGGCGGCGUGCCUAAUACAUGCAAGUCGAGCGAACAGACGAAGAGCUUGCUCCUCUGAUGUUAGCGGCGGGCGGGUGAGUAACACGUGGAUAACCUACCUAUAAGACUGGGAUAACUUCGGGAAACCGGAGCUAAUACCGGAUAAUAUAUUGAACCGCAUGGUUCAAUAGUGAAAGACGGUUUUGCUGUCACUUAUAGAUGGAUCCGCGCCGCAUUAGCUAGUUGGUAAGGUAACGGCUUACCAAGGCGACGAUGCGUAGCCGACCUGAGAGGGUGAUCAGCCACACUGGAACUGAGACACGGUCCAGACUCCUACGGGAGGCAGCAGUAGGGAAUCUUCCGCAAUGGGCGAAAGCCUGACGGAGCAACGCCGCGUGAGUGAUGAAGGUCUUCGGAUCGUAAAACUCUGUUAUUAGGGAAGAACAAAUGUGUAAGUAACUAUGCACGUCUUGACGGUACCUAAUCAGAAAGCAACGGCUAACUACGUG
rnacentral:rRNA from 1 species